AAAAGCAAGCACAUUUACUUCCCAGGUUGUUAUAAUUAAACUAAAGAACAAAAUAUAUUUGAGUAGUAGAAAGGCAGUAAUCAAAUGUGUCCUCUUUUCAGGGGAAGGUGAGUCAGCAUCCCUGUUAUCUGAUUGUUUACUCUGAUAUUCAAAUAUUGGCUGGAGGGUUGAGGUAGAUGCCAACAAAGGGCUCUUGAACCUUGGAAAUUAUUGUUGUAUCAGGGACUGAGCAGCAAAAUUCAUGUUAAAUGCAGAUUUCCUGAGUCCUACCCUAAGAUUUCAUUAUGUAAACACGGACUUAAGCCCAGGAAUCCAGAUUUUUAUAAGAACCUUGUUGAUUCUGAUCUAAAUGGUUUGAGGACUCCACUUUAAGAAAUACUCUACUAGAGAGGUAGUCUAAAGUACAUCUCUUCUACAGGGGAAAAUCCUUUAUGGGGCAGGAGUAAUACUUUAGAACUUUUAAAGUUUGUCUUUUUUUUUAAAUUAGAGUAUAGUUUUUUACAGUGUUGUAUCACUUUCUGCUAUACAACAUAGUGUCCCAGUCAUGUAUAUAUGAUUUUUUCACAUACUAUCUUCUAUUAUGUUCUACCUCAAGAGAUUGGAUAUAGUUCCCUGUUCUGUACAGUAGGACCUCAUUGCUUAUCCAUUGUAAAUAUAAUAGUUUGCAUCUACUAACCGUAAACUCCUAGUUCAUCCCACUCCCCCUCCCCCAUCCCCAAGCAAGCACAACUCUGCUCUCCAUGUCCAUGAUCUGUUUCUGUUUUGUAGAAAUUUUCGUACUAAGUGAAGUAAGUAAAAGACAAAUAUCACGAUAGCACCUAUAUGUGUAACCUAAAAUAUGGCCAAAAUUUAUCUUAACAAAGGACAGUUCUUAAGCUAUGCUGCUGUUUGGCACUGGUGUGUUCUUCAAACCUAUAUGACAGUCAGCUGGUCAUAUCCUAGGCAAAGUAUUUAAAAUCCUGAUGAAUUGAAUAGGGGUAGAAGUUGCUUGGAGUUUAGCCUACUCUGAUCUAGUAAGAUUUAUGUUGCCUGGGUAAAUGGAUUUAAGGGUCAGUGAUCUUGUUUAAUUAAACUACUCCUCACUCCUCACAACAUGGGCAAGUGACUCAAACAUAUAUUUUACAAAUAACCCUUGAAUUGAUGAUAAUGCCAAAGGAACAUCUACAAGGGUGCAAAAGAAAAUGGCAAUGCUGGCAAUUGUCCUAUUCAUUCAAAACUCCUGGUCAGCUGCAUCAAGGGGGUAAAAAAUAAAAGUCUAAUCAGAUAUGAUUACCAAGAAGACUAUUUCAAAUAUGGAUUUACAGCCACAUCAUUAAUAAUGCUCACAUCAUGUUAUGAGAGAACAAUAAUGUCAUUAUGAUCAAGAGGGCAGAAUAUCAAUUAGAGAAGCACUAGCACAAUGGGAGAAUAUAGUGUAGAGGUUAGGACCCAGAUGCUAAGGUCAGACUAUUAGGUUUGAAAUCAGGUUCUGCUGCUUACAAGCUGUAUGACCUUGGUUGAAUUACAUGCCCUACAACUCAGUUUUCCCAUCUGUAAAAGGGGGAUUGAAAACAGAGCCUACCUAAUCCCACCUAUGAGGAUUAAAGGAGUUAAUAUGUUUAACAGCCUCUGCUGUUGGAAAAGCACUAGAUAUAAAAGCAGAAAUAUAGCAUGUUUUGACAAUUUUCUCUAUACAUCUCUUUGGUGUGUUAAACAUUCUGACAUCAUUGUUGCUUUAUUUCACUUCCUUUCCUACCUUUUUAUUCUAAGAAAAAGGCAUGCCAAGAUAUUACCUGAAAAAUUGUAUGGAAAGGUGCUAGUUCAGAAGAAUGAAUUUCUGAGGUCUUGCUUGCUCCUUGCUCCUUUUCCCUCUCCACUUGGUGUCCAGCUCUCUACCCCAGGGCUUCUCUUCCUGAGCAGGAAAUCUCCCCUGAAUCAGGCAUACCCAGACCACGUGGACAAUAGUUGUAAACAUGCACACUUCUUCCCUUUUCACUCAGUAUAGUUGGGGACGCUGAAUUUUUUUUUCUUCCCCAAAAAGAACGUGAUUGAGAAGGAUAUAAAAAGGAAUAGACAAAGGUGACACCAAAUGAUCAAAACAGGUGGGACUAGUGGAUCUUUCUUUCAAUCACCAUUUACUGAAUACACGGCCCUCCAUCUUUUUUCUCAAUCUGUUUUAGCCAACCCAAGGUGGCUUCAGGUGGAAUCCCUUGAGCCUCCCCAGUGCCUAAUUUCCAGCUGUCAUUGCCUAGAAGUCAGAGUCUAGAUUCUGUAAACUGUUGCUUAGUUUCCUCUAUAUUCUAAUUCUGCCUUAUGGGCUCAUGUGCAGGAUUGCACUGGAAGACCCUAAAUGUCCCCUUCAACUUUCUCUUCCCAUCUCUCCCAGUAGGUGCGUCUCCAAAAUUUUUGCUUACCAGUGCCCAAACGCAUCAGGCUUUGCAUAUGGCCUUUUCCUUGAGUCUUCCCCACUCUUUGCUGAUACAAAUCCUAUCUGACUUCCUAGGACCCCCUCAAAUCUUUCCUUUUCUGAGGGACCCUCAAGACCAGGGCAAAAAGAAACCUCUGGGGUAGCUCAAAUCACAACACAGAGGCUGGCUGUCUACUUUGUCUGUAGGACUGCACUGUAGAUGUCCAAGUGGGACUGCCUGAUCUGGAACAGAGGCUUCAGGGGACAGUUCUCAGGUGCCUGUCUUUCUAACAUGGCUCGUCAAUAUCCAGAACCAUCUUAAAGAUGAACAUAUCUUCCAUAUCACUGAACUGUUGCAUUUCCAAUUUGGAAAAGAAUCUCUCUUCUUUCUAACUCCACCCAAAGCAUGAGUCCCCUCUGAGCAACCCAGGGCACCACAUGGUGGUGACCUCACUAGCUCUCUAGGCAUCUCUUCCCCCAAAGCAGAAUGCCUUCCAUUUUUUAAGAAUUGAUAUCGCAGAACACAGUUUGAAUUUCAAGACAACACAACAUAGAGUCAAAAAAGAAAUUAAGCUUAAACUAGUGAUAUAUUUGGAACAUAAUCAAUCAUAGUGUUUGGGUGCUCUGGAAACACAUAUUGAAUAUAGCCAGAUUACCGAGUUUUAACAUUUGUUUAAUAUGCAUGCUUGGCUAUUUUAUCCUCCAAAUGAAUGCAGAAAAGAUAAUGUCCUUUGAAAUACAUGGACUUGUCUUGGGAAACAUGGGGUGUUCUAAAAUGGCGAAUGGCCAGAGGGGGCAGAGAACCCUGGUUCUUGUCUAAAAUCUAAACUUCUGGUCAGUGGUCGACUUGGUAAGCUUAAGCUGUUAAAUUCACUGGUUCCAUUGACAUUAUGCUUGUUACUGUGUAAAAUAUACACAUACAUUAACUUUUCCUUUGGGACAUACAUGGUAGAUGGGGAAUUCUUGUUGACAGUGUUGAUUAGCUCACUUUAAAUGUGUGAACAUUUGUGAUUUCUUUACUAGUUUUCAAUGCUUUAGUAUUAUCUUCAUCUUCAUAGCUCGUCCUAGUUUCAGGGGAAUCCUAUUACUCAGAUGAGUUGUCAAAGGCCUGUGUCAGCCACGUUCUUCAGCUUCCACUUGUUCCAGAGUCUCAGAUUGAGUUUCCACACUUGGCUUCAUCUGCCAGCACUGAUUCCUUCACUGAUUUAUCUUUCUAUGCAGGGGUUGAUGGCAGUGAGGGCAUGUUCAAGGCCUUAACACACUCCUUGGAUAUAAAUAAGCAUUUUAUUAAAUGCUUUAAGUGAACUAAAAAUGAAAGACAAAAAAUAGGUGAGGAGUUCAUGCUGCAGCCCUGUGGGUUAUGAAUCUGAUUGCAGCAGCUUGAGUCAUGGGUUCAAUCCCUGGCCCAGCAGAGUGACUAAAGGAUCCA
rnacentral:lncRNA from 1 species